UGCCACCUCAAGCACCUGUUCUUAACCGGGGGGGGGGGGGUUCCGUGAUGUCACAACUGCAGUGAAUUUCCUUUUAUUUUAUGCCGGAAGGUGGCCUCAGUUUCUGCGGUAUGCAUCCUUACAAACACAGAAAAUAAGCUGGUAAAACUGCUGCAUCCCUCUUUGCCUGGUUCCUAAGCCCUCGAUCCCUCGUGCAUCCAGCACCUGCACCAUCCGCUUCUCCGCCAUCACAAGCUGUGGUCCGUCGCUGAAAACAUUCACCCACUUCAGACCUUCAGAUACACAUUGUAAAUGGACUGACCCUGACUCUCUCUCUAUUCAGCUCUAUUUCGGGUGACCUGCAGAUAAUCCAAGCCACAUUAGUUCUGGAAUCCCUGUUCUUCCACACCACUACCAUUCCGGUGUGUCUUCAUGCAGGUUAGCCAGACUUCCACAUGAACAUGUGGAUUUCUGCAUAUGGGCGUACAGCAACUUCACAAAUGUCACAUCUGAAGAGGAUGGGGCUCUACUUUUAGGCCAAUGAACUGGGGGCAUGUCAAGGAACCUCAUUUCACAUCAAAGAUUCAACAAAUCCCUACCCCCCCCUCCCCCCCACGAUCAGCUCUACUAUGUAACGGCUGCAACUGUUUACAAAAAAGUUUUAAAAAGUUUAAAAAUUAUUGAGGAACAGAGCUGAGGUUUUAUUAUAUACAUAAACUGAUGAAUAUAUGUAAAUGUUUUUUUUUUUUUUUUUUGCUGGUUUUUCCCUGUAAAUAGGUUUGCAUAUUUUAUAGGACUUUUACUUCUACCUACAAAGACUGGGUAUACAUAAAACUUUAAAUACUUUGAAAAAAACAUAAAAGAGUAAUGAAUUCUAAAAACAGGUAGCAAGGUGUUAUAGAGCUGUAUGGCAUGAAAAGACAUUUGAUCCAGGUAUUCCACAGGUCAGUCAGAGAGAUCAGUCCAGAGAAAAUAUGAAUCUGUGUGUGCAUAUCUAUUUAUUUAUUUGUUUGUUUGUUUGUCUUAGCAUUUUUAGACCACUGUUUCAUGUUCCUUUCAAGCUGCAGAGUGUCCUGGUGAAGCAUGUGUCUGCGACCAGACUAUGGUAUGGGUGCCUGUUGUACAGCGGAUAAAGAAGAUCUCCUCCAGAAGCUGACUCUCCUCUGGGUCCUCCUGCAUGCUGUGCUGUGGAGAUGGAGGAGGGACAAACGAGGCUGAAGCAGGCAUACCCCGCACUCCACUGGCAAUGAAAGGCGGCUUCAGACGCUGCUGGAGAACAAGAUGACGGACAUGUGAAGACUAUGGAGCACCAGUAGCAGAAAAAAUUGUGGUCUAUUAUAUAAGAUUUAAGACGAACAACCCCUUCUAAUGCAAGCACAGUCCACUGCUGCAUGUAGAGGUAAAACCCAAAAAUGUUAUAUUGUAUUGAGAAGCCAUCAGCAUAUCUAUCUGUCGCACAAUACACAACACUACAUCCAGACACAAUCUUACAUUCAUCCCAUAAUAAUCCAUAAUACGCACUAGCUUUGAUUUUCAAUGCUUUCUGGGGCCUGCUCAGUACACCUAAUGUGCCAUUUAAUCUGCCAUGUAGCAUUUAAAAUAAAUGUCCAUGUCUUCUGGGGGCAGAGUGUAACUCUGUAGUAGUUAGGGAUCUGUGCUGUUGGGCCCUGGGGCCCUCUGGGGAUGACCCUACUCUCUGAUCUCUCCUCGUUUGUAUGUCUCUUUGCAACAAAGACAUCUGCUAAAUAACUGCAAAUUGCAGAGGUAUCCAUUACCAACAGCAGAAAUACACCAGUCCUGGAGUAGGCUGGCCCAAGAGAUUCACCCAGGAAUCCUACAAGUCAUUACAGGUGCGAUGGAAAACACAGAACUUUCUUACAGGCCAUCCUGUGGAAAUAUGCAUGAAUAAAAAGAGAAUGAAUAAAUAAAUGAAUAGUAAGAUAAAGCUAAUAGAGAUUCAAACCAGCAGUCUAGCUCCUUGAUAAAUUAUUCAGUAAGUACACAGACGGACAAGCAUGUUUCAGAUUUAAAACAUGAACUCUACAGCCGUGCCGCUCAGAUGUUGCUAACACGACUCCCUGCUCAUUUUAAGCAGGGCUCAUUUGCAUUUCGCAUUCCUGGAUUGCCGGUGAUGCAGGGUAUGAAUAUAUAAAGGGCUUCCAGAGAUAAUAUGAACACAUGAAUGCAAAGGCAAGCACACUAACAUACCUGCUACUGUAUUAGGUCCCAUCCCAAAACAAAGAUCUGAAAAUAAGGUUGAUGUGUAUAAAACAAAAUAAAAAAAAUUCCCCCUUUAUUCCGGUAGAACUGCACGAUUUUCAAAAAAUUAUUUACUCAGUACAGGGUUAUCGAUAGAGGUGAAGAAAACGAUUUAACAAAUCAGGACAGAACAGCAUCACCAGACGGCAAAUAUAGGUGCCAAAGGUUGUAAGCACCAAAAAUUAAACAAAGCAAAUCUAUGUCUGUGGGCAUGGCAGUAUCAGUGCGGAUGGGAGGGACAUCAGCCUGGCUCGCUUUCUGAAAUUUGAACAAUUUGCAUUUUUAUUUGUUGAUUUAUUUAACAGACAGCCCUCUCAAACAGCCAUCCAUCACCAGAUGACACAGCCAAUAUGAAUAAUGCAUCUCCUACAGGGAGCUGGAAUCUAUAACAAGACAAGGGGUCCACAAUUUGAGUGGGGGAGUUCACACCGGGGGAGAUUAUGGGAGGAAGAAUACUGAUGGCCCUGGCAGGAAAACAUUUAGCCAGGGCGUUUAGUGCUUUCCUCAGGGCUCGGGUUUGUGUGGCCAUGAGACAGGAUUGCUUUAACAGACACUGCCCUCUUUAUGUGCCAGGCAUUACUCUCUCCUGUGCUCCGUUCAGCAAUCACUGACCUCAGGGUUAGACGGCAUCUCACGGGGACCUGCAAGGAGACAUUCUAAGCAACUCAAAAAGCUAAACGUCACAUCUAAAUCCAUGUUUAUUAUAGGGCAUCAUAACAACAACACUCACAAAAGAUAAUCCUUUAACUAAAGAGACUAUAUUUUGUUGCAUUUAUUAUUUGCUUAAUUAUUACUUUAUAAGGGAGAUCCAGAGACCUUCAGAAAGCACCUCUCUCAUUAAAUAGUGGCAGUGAUAAUACUGGAAUAAAAAGAACAAAGCACGUUCAUCUACAGCGUUUCUUAAAUACUGAUUUGCAUACACAUCACCAUAUGAAAAGCAGCGGAUUCUCCUGUGUUUAGUGGUUUAGUUAUUCUUUCUGGUUGUAAGACCUGGCUGACCUUUUAAUUUACAGCCCAAACAGUAAUAUAAAGUUCCAGUGAGGCCACAUACAUAGCCUGACCGCGUCAAUUCCUUCAAAACCUGCACUGACCGCGACAAGAUUUUCCAAUUGACAGAAGAGUCCGUAGAAGCAAGAUGGCAACAAAAAGCUAUGAUAUCUACUGGUUUUAAUUCUCAAAACACUUAUUCAUUUCCUAUUGAUUAGUCACUUACGUUUGUAAACUUAUGGAGAAAAAUCUGACAUCGAUUAUGGUGAAGACGACUAUUAAAAUAAAGUAAAUGGGAAGAAAACUAUAAACCCAUGACGUUCGCUUGCAUGUGGUUAAGCUGCCCAUCACGAUAACACAGGAGAAAACUUGAGAAUAAACAAA